rnacentral:piRNA from 2 species
UAGCGUUUACUUUUUGCCAAUGACGUA